rnacentral:rRNA from 1 species
AUUGAACGCUGGCGGCAGGCCUAACACAUGCAAGUCGAGCGAGCGGCGGACGGGUGCGUAAUGUAUGGGGACUGCCCGAUAGAGGGGGAUAACUACUGGCACCGGUGGCUAAUACCGCAUACUAUCGGAUAACCCAUAUGGGAUUAGCUAGUAGGUGGGGUAAAGGCUCCACUAGGCGACGCUCUCUAGCUGGUCUGCGAGGAUGGUCAGCCACACUGGGACUGAGACACGGCCCAGACUCCUACGGAGGCAGCAGUGGGUAAUAUUGCACAAUGGGCGCAAGCCUGAUGCAGCCAGGCCGCGUGUAUGAAGAAGGCCUUAGGGUUGUAAAGUACUGUCAGCGGGGAGGCGUUACCCGCAGAAGAAGCACCGGCUAACUCCGUGCCAGCAGCCGCGGUAAUUC